AUACCCAAUGAUGACAAUGAACCAUGAACCAAGGGUUAUGAUUUCUCUAAUUCUGUAUAUCUCAGGUCCAUU
ensembl:snoRNA